UACGUAGGGGGCGAGCGUUGUCCGGAGUUACUGGGCGUAAAGCGCGCGCAGGCGGUCUUCCAAGUCAGUGGUGAAAGCCCGGAGCUCAACUCCGGAACUGCCAUUGAAACUGUUGGACUUGAGUAUGAGAGAGGUGAGUGGAAUUCCCAGUGUAGAGGUGAAAUUCGUAGAUAUUGGGAAGAACACCGGUGGCGAAAGCGGCUCACUGGACCACAACUGACGCUGAGGCGCGAAAGCUAGGGGAGCAAACAGG
rnacentral:rRNA from 1 species